UAGUGGCCCAGGCUAGUGACCGGGAACAUGUACCUUCCUUCAGCCAACCCCAGACGUCCACUGAUGCAUCAUAUACUGGCAAAGAUCCUGGCCGAGGGGGGUGGGCUUGGCCGCCGGAGAUUCGCCAGAUGUUGGACUCCAGCCAGGGGCGGCUUCUUCUGCCCUAGAGGCGGGACGCGGGUCUCCAGAUGAGCUUGCUCCUGGGAGGCGGCGGCGGCGGCGGCGGCGGCAGGGGGAGGGGGAGGGGGUCCGUUCCAGGGAGCUGCUCCAUUUCUUCUCUCCCCCGCGGCCUGGCCUGGGGGCGACUUCUGCUGCCGGAGAUUUGCCUGAGGUCCGACUCCAGGUGAGCUUGCUCCUGGGAGAUGGGUGCGGUGCGGUCAGGGGGCUGGUAAGGUGGUGGCUGCGGGGAUACGGAGGCUGCCCCGGGGGAGCUUGUGGAUUAGCUCUCAUGUCUGUGCCGCGUGGCCUG